AAAACAAACAAAAAGAAGAAACAAGAAAUUGAAGAGAGAUAUAUUAGU
rnacentral:guide_RNA from 1 species